CUAUUCACAUGCAAGUCGAGCGGCAGCGGGAAGUAGCUUGCUACUUUGCCGGCGAGCGGCGGACGGGUGAGUAAUGUCUGGGAAACUGCCUGAUGGAGGGGGAUAACUACUGGAAACGGUAGCUAAUACCGCAUGACCUCGAAAGAGCAAAGUGGGGGAUCUUCGGACCUCACGCCAUCGGAUGUGCCCAGAUGGGAUUAGCUAGUAGGUGAGGUAAUGGCUCACCUAGGCGACGAUCCCUAGCUGGUCUGAGAGGAUGACCAGCCACACUGGAACUGAGACACGGUCCAGACUCCUACGGGAGGCAGCAGUGGGGAAUAUUGCACAAUGGGCGCAAGCCUGAUGCAGCCAUGCCGCGUGUGUGAAGAAGGCCUUAGGGUUGUAAAGCACUUUCAGCGAGGAGGAAGGCAUCACACUUAAUACGUGUGGUGAUUGACGUUACUCGCAGAAGAAGCACCGGCUAACUCCGUGCCAGCAGCCGCGGUAAUACGGAGGGUGCAAGCGUUAAUCGGAAUUACUGGGCGUAAAGCGCACGCAGGCGGUUUGUUAAGUCAGAUGUGAAAUCCCCGCGCUUAACGUGGGAACUGCAUUUGAAACUGGCAAGCUAGAGUCUUGUAGAGGGGGGUAGAAUUCCAGGUGUAGCGGUGAAAUGCGUAGAGAUCUGGAGGAAUACCGGUGGCGAAGGCGGCCCCCUGGACAAAGACUGACGCUCAGGUGCGAAAGCGUGGGGAGCAAACAGGAUUAGAUACCCUGGUAGUCCACGCUGUAAACGAUGUCGACUUGGAGGUUGUGCCCUUGAGGCGUGGCUUCCGGAGCUAACGCGUUAAGUCGACCGCCUGGGGAGUACGGCCGCAAGGUUAAAACUCAAAUGAAUUGACGGGGGCCCGCACAAGCGGUGGAGCAUGUGGUUUAAUUCGAUGCAACGCGAAGAACCUUACCUACUCUUGACAUCCAGAGAAUUCGCCAGAGAUGGCUAAGUGCCUUCGGGAACUCUGAGACAGGUGCUGCAUGGCUGUCGUCAGCUCGUGUUGUGAAAUGUUGGGUUAAGUCCCGCAACGAGCGCAACCCUUAUCCUUUGUUCCAGCGAGUAAUGGUGGGAACUCAAAGGAGACUGCCGGUGAUAAACCGGAGGAAGGUGGGGAUGACGUCAAGUCAUCAUGGCCCUU
rnacentral:rRNA from 1 species